UUACUCACUCUCUUCUUCUUCUUCCUCUAUAAAUCCGCCAUUUUUAUCGUCCGCCGGAGCUUUCUUCUCCUUUUUAAAGCUCAAUGAGAAUCUCCCCGAACCCCCAAAAGUUCGCCCAGGAAUCUUUGCAAUGAAUACUUCUUAAGCAUUGCUCGCUUUGUUUAGUGUCUCAAAAUAGCAAAUUUUGCAUGCCCAUCUUGCAAAAUUCCAAUCUCUCUGCUUUUUCCUCCUUGUGAAUAUUUCUUGAGCUGAAAUAUCAAAAAAAAUAAAAAUUAGUAUCUGUCUUGGUGUGCUUUUAUUCCUCUGCUUUGGGAUUUUUUUGAACAAAAAAUCAAGAAUCUGUCUUGGUGUGCUUUUUAUUCCUCUUCUUUGAGAAUUUUCUGAGCAAAAAAAGUCAAGAAUCUGUCUUGGUGUGCUUUUAUUCCUCUGCGUUGAGUUUGAUAAUGGUUUCUCUACAAGAUUCUCAGGCUCACGCAAAUUCCGGCAGCAAUAGCUUCAACCAAACGCGGCCUUGUUACUACUACACUCCGCCGCCGCCGUCGGCCAGAAUCCAGCGGUCUAUUGGCCGUUCCAUGAGGACCAUCCGGUCGAAUCUUUACAGAAGCGGAUGCUCCGUUUCUGAAAAAUCCGGCAACGUAUCCGAGAAUCUGACGGACUCCGUCGUUGAUAUCCGGCUUGGGGAGCUCGCUAGUAAGCCCGCAAUCAACAAAUCCUCCUGUUCGGAAGAGGAAUUUCUGGAGAUUUCACAAACAUUCAGCGAUUUCUCGGCUUGUAGCAGUGAUAUUUCCGGCGAAUUGCAGCGGCUCGCUAGCCUGCCGACUGCGGCGGAUCCGGUUGAGAGCCAGACACCUAACUCAGAGCCGGAGCCGGAACCUUGUCAAGGGUUUCUUCAGAGAGACACGUUUUCGACUGAAAUAAUCGAGAGCAUAUCGCCUGAGGAUCUUCAUCCCACGGUGAAGCUCUGCCUAGACGGCUUACAAUCUUCCUCAGUGGCGGUGAAACGAUCAGCCGCCGCAAAGCUGAGGCUUUUAGCUAAGAACCGAGCCGAUAAUCGGGCUUUGAUAGGAGAAUCCGGCGCAAUACCCGCACUUAUACCUCUUCUCCGCUGCUCCGAUCCCUGGACUCAAGAACACGCCGUCACGGGGCUUCUAAACCUCUCCCUUCAUGAGCCUAACAAAACCGUCAUAACCGACGCCGGCGCCAUAAAAUCACUGGUUUACGUGCUUAAAACUGGCACAGAGACGUCCAAACAGAACGCGGCUUGCGCUUUGUUGAGCCUGGCUUUGAUUGACGAAAAUAAGUUGUCAAUUGGGGCUUGUGGUGCCAUUCCACCAUUGGUGGCUCUGCUCAUCAAUGGAUCCAACCGCGGUAAAAAGGACUCGUUAACCACGCUUUAUAAGCUCUGUUCAGUGAAGUUAAACAAGGAGAGGGCUGUGAGUGCAGGUGCUGUGAAGCCGCUGGUGGAGCUGGCUGGAGUGAAUGGAACUGGGCUUGCCGAGAAGGCUAUGGUGGUCUUGAACAGCCUGGCAGCGAUUGAAAUUGGCAGAGAUUCGAUUGUGGAGGAAGGAGGAAUUGCAGCCCUGGUGGAGGCUAUUGAGGAUAGUUCCGAUAAGGGGAAGGAAUUUGCGGUGCUCACGCUUCUGCAAUUGUGUAUUGAUAGUGUUAGGAAUCGGGGAAUGCUCGUGAGAGAAGGUGGAAUUCCUCCUCUUGUUGCCUUGUCUCAGAAUGGAACUGCUAAAGCUAAGCACAAGGCUGAAACACUUCUUGGGUACUUGAGAGAACCGAGGCAAGAAGCUUCUACGUCAACUCCUUAGAGGCUUAGAGAGGUACGAGGAAGAAGAUGGCCACAAGUCCAGUGAGUGAACAGCCUGCAAACAAGAGGAAUGUCCCUGAAGUGCCAAUAGCCUCUAUGAGAGUCAAGAAAGUGAGUGAGACGACGAGAUUUGAAACCCAGUUAGCUACUGCGGCUAUUCCUCCUCCAACACCGUGGUAUCUCAAAGGGUAAAUCUCAGAGUUCACGACCCAUGGCAGUGUCCCCAUCCCAGGAGCAUAGGAUAUGAUGAACAAUCCGAGUAGCAAGACUGCAAAGAUCCCAUAUUUGCUGGGGCAGCCUUCUGUGUACCAUGAUCACCCUACUGAGUGGCCCGAGUGUUUCAUUUCAUCAGUCACAGAUAAACAGGCUCCUGGAUUGUACUGUUAAGAUCAGAUCCAGAAAUGAGCAGAAUGAACAGUGGUGAGAGGUGGCAUGCUGAUGCACACACGAGUAGCAGCUCCAGGAUGAUGGUUGAUUAUUUGAUCCGGCUGCGAAUAAGGAAGUGGAGCAUGUUGAAUUGAGGCCAAAGUGUUGGGAUUGGGAGAGGCUAACUGGCGGGGAAUGUUGAGAGGCGAGAUAAAGGAGACCA